CAGAUGUGAAAGACCCGGGGCGUCAACCUCGGAACUAGCAUUUGUAAACUAGGCAGACUAGAGUACUGUAGAGGGGGGUAGGAAUUUCAGGUGUAGCGGUGAAAUGCGUAGAGAUCUGAAGGAAUACCGGUGGCGAAGGCGGCCCCCUCGGACAGAUACUGACACUCAGAUGCGAAAGCGUGGGGAGCAAACAGGAUUAGAUACCCUGGUAG
rnacentral:rRNA from 1 species